ensembl:snoRNA T19E7.29 ncRNA
AACAGUGUAAAAGUGCAAGUCAAUCUCCGUCUCUUUUCCGCUCGUAAAAAUAGAAUCUAUCCGCGCGGACGCGGCGCCCGUUCUCCGUCCAUCCGUCUGUCGACUACGUAAUCGCUCAGUGCCUUCGGUUGACUUUCAUUCCUCACGACACUCACCAUACGGCCUUGUCUGACCACCUCUCCAUCGAUUUAUUAGGGAAACAGUGGGCCCAACAUUUGAUUCGA